UCAAGACUGAACCUGUUUAAAACAUUUUGGUUGAUCUAAAAUACGAUUAAAAAAAAGGGUAGGGAAAAACAGCAAUUCUCAAACUCUCUCAUUGAGUGUCUUUUUACUCAAGGGGGUUGCAAAGCUGGUGUUCAAGUUCAACAUUUAUAUUUUAACAACAUAAUAACAGAUUUAAACUUUAAUAAUGACAAAAACAUGGAUUAUUUUAUUUAAACAUGUCCCAGAACAGAACUCAAACAAUUCAAUGCUGUUUCUAUCUCACAGGCAAGCUUUUUUUUCAGUUCAAACAUUGAAAUGACAUUUUUAGUUGUUCAUGUGUUUUGAAAAUUUAAGUUAAGUUUAUCUCUAAAUGGGCAUUUUCCCCCCUUUCUUAAAACACCACAUAAUUUUUCUGAAAUAAGGUUAACACACAUCUGGAAUUAACAAUGUUUGAUGUCAUUUCACCUCAGAGUGACAUCUGUAACUCUGGUCCUGGGACAUUCAAUUACAGAGCAGAACAUUUGAGUACAGGUGUGUCUUGCUGUUCAGUUGAGGUUUAUGCAUCCACCCUGAGGGAUGUCCUGAAAAUGAAACAUACCAUUGUUGUGUGUAUGGUAAAUAUAUUAUGAAGUAUUUGUAUUGGUAAUGCAAGUUGCACGCACUUAUGAAGUGAUAGUGAUAGUGGUGCCCUUACUCGACACUCUAGUCGUUAGUGAGAUGCACAUACUGACCCCUUACUGACUGCACUCGAAUGCCACACGCACAAGGUGUACACGAGAUAAGUGCCCGUAGGAUGCCCGCACAAAUUACAACCUGUCUAAUUUCCUAAUCUCUAACAGUCAGGCUGCACACAAGGAGCGUGCAAUUAUCACGUGAACGGCACUUAUGAACCCCUUGCGCAGUCUGCCAGAUUUUUACUACAACUUGUCACCUGCACGGAGUCUAUAGAAAAAAAUGUGCAUGAACAUUUUCGCCUCACUGGGUUGUCUACGACCUUAAAAUUUUGUGAACCUGCAUGUCCUGUACAGGUUUACUUUUCCCCUUUAGACAGCCCUUGUCCACCCAUAAGGGGCAGUUGUGACUAAGGCAUUACUUAUUUUACCCUUUCUUACCCUUACAUGUUGUAUAAGUGGUCGCUAUAGGACCUGUUGCCCGCUGCAUGCCUGUGGAGAAAAAUGUGUUUGAACAUUUUGUCUGUACGGGCUCACAGAGCAGUCUACAACUUUGACAUUUGAUGUGGGUCACCUGAGUGUCCCAUACAGAUUUGCCAAUUUUCUAGCUGCAAACAGCUGGUAUCCACCUGAAAAGGCAGUAGCCACUUAGCCAUGUCUUUUAUCCAUUAGCACUGGCAUCUUGGCUGCUUUUCUUCUCUUUUAGUAUUUAUUUAUAGCUUUACUAAAUUCUAUUUGUUCAGGAUCUGUUCAAUUGUACCAGUGGUGGCUGUCCUUUGAACUAUUGUUCUUCCUCACCAUGCUUUCUCCAUAUUCAUGGAUUCUCAGACUCAUAACUUAUUGACUCAGUAAUUCAACUUUGAUAGGAUUAGGAUGAUAAACGGCAUAAGUCACCCUGGAUGAAUCUGUUGCUGUGAUGAAUGGCACGGCAGGAUCCCUAGAAACUAACUGCAGCAUUUCCUGUCCUCUGUUACUUCCUCUGGUUAUAUUAAGAGCAACUUUUUUCCUUUUUCCUUCUCAGUGCUCUGAUGCUGUCACACCUCUUUCUUCCCUCUGGGUGUAAUUUUUUCCCGCUUUGCCUUUAUAACACUUUCCUCUUGGUUUUGACGUUUUUCUCUUCUUUUUCUUUGAAUGAUGGGGAUUUUUCUCUGGUCUGCUUAGGAUUUUAGUUAUUUUAAGCAAAUGUAUGAUAAAAAAAUGCAAAAAGAUCAUACAUUCAUAGAUUUUAGUGACAAUUUUUCUCCAAAAGUGUUUUUAACGAAAAACAAAAACAUCAAAAACAGGUAAAACUUAAAAUCUUAAAAUGUUGUUUUGAAAAGAGCUCCCAAUCUCCUGAAAACUCUAAAGAUGUAUCAUAAUGCUGUUUGAAAGAUACCUAAAUGUACUACAUAUACCUUAAAACCAGCAGUUUUUUGUUGUUUUUGUAUCAUCUUAAAUGUUUCUAUUUGAAACAUAAUCAGUUUCUCACAAUGCAAGGCUGCACACUGGCGCAGUGGUUAACACUCUUCCCUCACAGCAUGAAGUCCCUGGUUGAAGUCUUGGCUGGGGGUCCUGGGACGGAAUCGCCAAUAGGGGACAUCUCUGUGUGGAGUUUGUGUGGGUUUUCUCCGGGGGACUGGAGCUUCCUCCCACCCCCCAAAAACAUGCUUCAUAGGUUAAUUGGUUGCACUAAAUUGUACCGUAGUGUGAAUACGAGUGGUAUGGGCAUGUAAUUGUGGCCCUGCAUCAGACUAGCUCUGGGAUAGGCUCCAACAGCCCCCAAAAGGCAUGAAAACCAAUGCCUUGUAUAUGUUGAAGCCUAUAAUAAUCACGUUUUUUUUUUUUUUUAAAUCAGUUUAGAUAUUUUUUGGGGAAAAAGCAAUAUCUUUUGAUUUAUAUUGAUUCAGUUUUUUUUAUUUUUGAUAAACAAACUGAGAAGAGUUAUUGAGGAUCACGAAGACAGAUUCACUUUCACUCGUACUUCACAAAGAAACUGUCUCAAAGAAGAUUUAAGAUCUAAAAUGAACAAGCUUCCACACAAAUGGCAGCAACUGAAGUUCUCAUUCAGUCUUCCAAAGUGCAUUGAUCUGCAACUGCAGUCUCAAGCAGCUCGUGGAUGAAUGAAUCUAAAGUAGACAUAAAUGGUAAGAGUAACAGCUUCAUUUGUGCCCAAAAUACCACAAAAAGAUUAAAUCAGUUCUUAUGAACUGUUAAAUUAGGGGAAACCUCUGUCACCAACACGAAAACUAAACAAUGUACUAACAAUUUGUGACAUAAAAUACGCCGGCCGGCCACAACUCCCUGCCCCAAGCUCUCAGCAACGGGGUGGGGAAGGGGGCCGGUUUGGUCCACGCCAACAGUCCCCUUCACAAGUUAGAGGUGAAUUUCAAAUCCACUUUACUUCAGAACUUCAGAGGUUUCAUAUUUCCUUCAAUUUCAUGCGCAAAAAACAUCAACAUAAUUGAGCACGAAUAAUGUUUACUACUCCAUAUCUAGGGUCUAAAUAAGUGAACAAUUUACCUCAUGUCUGACCAUGUCAGACCUUUUGCUUUCCUUAAGUGAUGUAUAAAUAUUAGGCUAAAAUCUCAAUUCGUUUCGGUUCAGAAUUUCAUUGGGCUCGGUUCGGUACAUUUCGGUUUGGUACUGCUGUUGUCAUGGUGCCUCAGUCAGACUCCUCCCCCUCCAGGUCUGCUCCACUCCACUCCUGAUUACCACCAGCUGCAGUCACUCAUCCUCGUCACCUCACCUCCUCUUAAGGAGCUGCAAUCCUUCAAGCCGAUGCCAGUUCGUUGCCUUUCAACGGAAACCACUUCAGGAGUGACGCCAGUGUGGACCUUCUGCUAAGUUUCAUCCUCCCCUCAGCUCUCUGUACCCCCUAUUUGACUGGUCACCAUGGGGAGAAGAGCCUUCAGCCAUUCGGCCCCCAAACAAUGGAACUCUCUCCCCCUGGACCUCACUAUCAUUGACUCGUUGCCUAUUUUUAAACUGAUUUUAUGUUUUAACAUACUGUGUCGUUGAGUGCCAAGGGUGGUGCUAUAAAAUGUAUUGUUAUUAUGAUCUAAUCUAAAUUAUGGUUGUGUUUAUUGAGGUAGAAGUGAUUUUGUGAAGUACACAGCGCUCUGUCAAAAUACCUGUUUUGUAAAUGUUUUUUCUUUACGUGUUGCAUACAAGGUUGAGUGUUAUUAUAAAUAACAACUAUUGGUGUUGGACUGCAUGUGUUUUUUAACUGUUACUAACAAGGAUGGAUGUUACCCAGUGAUAAAACAGGAAAAAAAAAUAUCUUUCUUGAUUUGAAUUUUAAUUAAAUAUUGACACAUUUAA